AAGUCAGCAUCUGUUGGAGGGAUUGGGUUGGGUGAUUCGUCCCCUCUAUACCACCAGGGCGCUGGUGGUGACUGAGCUCUUUUGCUCCAGUGGCCUAACAAGGAUGAGGUCCUUAGAACUUCUACAGGGAUAGAGCUACAUAAGAUAAUCCAGUGUUAUAUCGGAAGGGAUUCAGAUAGAAGGAUCAAAAUAUCAAGGCAGUAGAAUGUAGGGAUGAGAUUAUAUCAGAAUGAUUCACUCUGGCCCGUAGAAGGUUGGGCUAGCUGCUAGUUACAUUGUCAGAGCUAAUGUCUCAUAUCAAGGAUCUUGUAACAUCUCGCUAUUUGACACUUGCAAUGUCUCACUAUGUGAAACCGAGCAAUGCUCUGAUAAAUCUCAGCACUGCCUCGCUCAUAUGAUCAAGCAUAUCCUUCCUUAUAAAUACUGCCUGAUUAUCAUGUAAUUAUC
rnacentral:sRNA from 1 species